rnacentral:tRNA from 1 species
GCCGAAGUGGUGGAAUUGGUAGACGCAUCAGACUCAAAAUCUGACGGGCAAUAGCCCUUGCGGGUUCGAUUCCCGCCUUCGGCACCA